UACGGGGGGAGCAAGCGUUGUUCGGAUUUACUGGGCGUAAAGGGCGCGUAGGCGGCCACCGCAAGUCGGUUGUGAAAUCUCUGGGCUUAACCCAGAAAGGUCAACCGAUACUGCGGGGCUAGAAUGCAGAAGGGGCAACUGGAAUUCUCGGUGUAGCGGUGAAAUGCGUAGAUAUCGAGAGGAACACCCGUGGCGAAGGCGGUUCUCUGGGACGGUACUGACGCUGAGACGCGAAAGCGUGGGGAGCGAACAGG
rnacentral:rRNA from 1 species